GAUGAACGCUGGCGGCGUGCCUAAUACAUGCAAGUCGAGCGAACAGACGAGGAGCUUUCUCCUUUGACGUUAGCGGCGGACGGGUGAGUAACACGUGGGUAACCUACCUAUAAGACUGGGAUAACUUCGGGAAACCGGAGCUAAUACCGGAUAAUAUUUCGAACCGCAUGGUUCGAUAGUGAAAGAUGGCUCUGCUAUCACUUAUAGAUGGACCUGCGCCGUAUUAGCUAGUUGGUAAGGUAACGGCUUACCAAGGCAACGAUACGUAGCCGACCUGAGAGGGUGAUCGGCCACACUGGAACUGAGACACGGUCCAGACUCCUACGGGAGGCAGCAGUAGGGAAUCUUGCGCAAUGGGCGAAAGCCUGACGGAGCAACGCCGCGUGAGUGAUGAAGGUCUUCGGAUCGUAAAGCUCUGUUAUUAGGGAAGAACAAACGUGUAAGUAACUGUGGACGUCUUGACGGUACCUAAUCAGAAAGCCACGGCUAACUACGUG
rnacentral:rRNA from 1 species